rnacentral:rRNA from 1 species
GACGUAGGGCGCGAGCGUUGUCCGGAUUUAUUGGGCGUAAAGAGCUCGUAGGCGGCUUGUCGCGUCGACUGUGAAAUCCCGCGGCUCAACUGCGGGUCUGCAGUCGAUACGGGCAGGCUAGAGUUCGGUAGGGGAGACUGGAAUUCCUGGUGUAGCGGUGAAAUGUGCAGAUAUCAGGAGGAACACCGGUGGCGAAGGCGGGUCUCUGGGCAAUAACUGACGCUGAGGAGCGAAAGCGUGGGGAGCGAACAGG